AUGUCCUCCCAGCAAUCGCCGCCGCCGGCGAGACCCCCGACGCCCGCUGGAACCACCAUGACCGCUCUCGGGGACGAUCUGAUCCGCGAGAUCUUCGCCCGCCUCCCCGACCUCCCGAACCUCGCGCGCGCGGCCUUCGCCUGCCGCGCCUUCCUCGGCGCCGUCCGCUCCUCCCCCGCCUUCCGCCGCCGGUUCCGCUCGCUCCGCCCGCCGCCCCUCCUCGCGUUCUUCGUCGAGCCCGACAUGGGCACGGUCCCGGUAUACCCCUCCCCCUGGCGCCGCUCCGACCCGGGCCUCGCCAAUGCCUUCCGCGACGCCGAUUUCCUCCAGACCCGCCGCAUGGACGGCCUUGCCUCCGGCGAACCUGGAUGGGAGUUCGACUACAGCUUGCGCUGCGAGAUCCGCAUCGCCCACCGGGAGCAGCGAGCCAGCUACAGCCCUCUGACGCAGGCGCUGUCUCUCUUCCCCGACAGGCAGAUUGUAACGGACGGCAGCUACCUUGAGUUCCACACGCUCUCCCACCAGGAGGACCAGGGGCUGCAGCGUGUGGUCUGCAUCCGUCACGACCGCCCAUGGACGGGGGCGCGCGUCGCUGUCUUCUCAUCGCGCACCAUGGAGUGGCAAAUUUCCCCUUGGGUGGAAACAGGGACCCUGACGCCGAAGGACGCCACCUACCUUAAGCCGGGUAAGGUGGUUGAUGGAUUCGUCUAUUGGACAUUUCCGAAUGGGGACGGUAUGCUCGUGCUCAAUACCGCGACAUCUCAGUUCCACCGAAUGGAUGUGCCGCAGCCUUUGAAAGAAGCUUUGAUGUUCAACCCUACAUUUUUUGAGCUUGGUCAGACCAAGGAUGGGAAGCUCUGUAUUGUGCAUAAGGGCAUACAUAACAAGGAAUGCAAGCUUUUUGUUUGGUCGUGGGGAAAAGAUGGUGAUGGUGUGGAGAGAUGGAAGCUGGACAAGUCGUUUCCAUUGCGCAUGAUUAUUGAGUUCAUCAAGUGCUCAAAGCUAAAUCAUGCCCAAGUAACAAUUGUGGCUGUCAUUGAUGGCUUUGUGUAUCUCUCAGUUGACUGUCAUGAGUAUGCUGAAUUUCAGAACUGUAGUAAUUCUCCAGAGUGGUUCUUAUCAUUAUGCCUGGAAACAGCAGAGCUGCAUCAGCUCUUUGAGGGCCCGUAUUGGAGUCAUAGUUGUGUCCGUCCCUAUGUAAUGCCGUGGCCUCCUUGUUUGGUACGUAGCAAGGAUGGUUCAGAAGCUGUGGGCAAAGGAGAACCUACUUCUAUCCUUAUCACAGCGUUGCAAUCUUUCAAAGAAGCUUUGAUUACUGAUGAUGAAGCAAAUAUUACUGAGACAAAGGCCUUUUUCUCUAUUGGGGUUAAGAACAGGUCUCUCGUCAGCAAAAUUGCCACUUUGGAUGCACGACUGACAAAUGCAAGAGAUCAUAUCUUGAGGAUAAGUGCUGACUCUGCUGAAUGCAAGAGACCAUGUCUUGACGAUGAUUGCUUCUUCUGCGUUCUAUCACAAGCUUACAGUUAG
rnacentral:rRNA from 1 species